rnacentral:rRNA from 1 species
UGGGGGAUAUUGCACAAUGGGCGAAAGCCUGAUGCAACGACGCCGCGUGGGGGAUGAAGGCCUUCGGGUUGUAAACUUCUUUUGCUCUGAACAAGGCGCACCAUGGGGUGUGUUGAGUGUAGGGGUUGAUUAGCGCCGGCUAACUACGUGCCAGCAGCCGCGGUAAUACGUAGGGCGCGAGCGUUGUCCGGAAUUAUUGGGCGUAAAGGGCUUGUAGGUGGCUGGUUGCGUCUGUCGUGAAAGCUCAUGGCUUAACUGUGGGUUUGCGGUGGGUACGGGCUGGCUUGAGUGCAGUAGGGGAGGCUGGAAUUCCUGGUGUAGCGGUGGAAUGCGCAGAUAUCAGGAGGAAUACCGGUGGCGAAGGCGGGUCUCUGGGCUGUUACUGACACUGAGGAGCGAAAGCAUGGGGAGCGAACAGG